rnacentral:lncRNA from 1 species
CCUGGUAUAAAGCAUAGCAUAUAUAAUUGAUCUUAUAACCAAAGUAUAAGGAAUAGAACUCAUUCUCUUUCUCUGUUCAGGUGUCUUAGAAGAUCUUUUUAGAGAGAUGUAUGCCAUGAUUUAUGGAUAAGUAACAUCUUUUACUCCUAUCCAUGUGGAACCUCUUCAAUACUAGAUCUAUGUAUUUAGACUGGGACAAGCCUAGCAUUA